AUGCCUGGGGCUCAGGGUGAAUUUUGUCAAGAGCUCACUGUCCCCCAGCCGACGGAUAUCGUUUCUGGGAACAGUGUUAGACUCAGUGACGAUGAGGGCAACAAUGGUGAAGGAGCGCGCUGCGGCUCUACAGCGACUUGCGGCCUCUUUCAAAAUAGGUGCUUCUCGACCCCUAAAGACAUUCCAGAAGCUGCUGGGUCUUAUGGCGGUGGCAUCACCGGUGCUGGAGCUCGGGCUGCUACGUAUGCACCCCCUCCAAUAUUGGCUGAAACCGCGUGUUCCACCUCAUGCAUGGCGUCACAGACGCUUGAAUAUCAAGGUGAGUCAGGACUGUAUUUCGGCCCUGACCCCUUGGAGGAACAUGCAAUGGAUGGAACGGGGUGCUCCACUUGGUAUGGUUUGCAGAAGGAAAGUGAUCUCCAGAGACGCAUCCAACAAGGGUUGGGGCGCGCUGUGCGAAGGGAAACCCGCUUUCGGCCAAUGGUCGAAAGAGGAGAGCAGGCUUCACAUCAACUGCCUCGAGAUGAUUGCAGUUCAACGAGCCUGCCAGAGCUUCCUGUCAGACCUGAAGAGCCACCACGUGCUGGUCAGAUUGGACAGCAUGACGGUGGUCUCUUACAUAAAUCACCAAGGUGGGCUUUCAUCGAAGCGUCUCUUCAGACUAACGUCGCGACUGCUGGAAUGGACCCAAAGCAAUUUGGGGUCCCUGAGAGCAGUGCAUCUUCCGGGCAAGCUGAACAAGGGCGCGGAUAUGCUGUCAAGAAGCGGAGUCUCCUCAGAAGAGUGGAGACUCCACCCGCAGACGGUUCAGAAGAUAUGGGAGGUCUUUGGCAGAGCGGAAAUAGACCUCUUUGCCUCAAAAGACAACUCUCAUUGCCUAAUAUAUUUUUCCAAGAUCGAGGACGCGUUGUCCCAGGACUGGCCCAACCAUCUUCUUUAUGCUUUUCCUCCGGUUCCUCUGAUUCCCCAAGUAAUCAGGCGGGUCAGGGACCAGAGAUGCAGGGUUCUGCUUGUAGCCCAUUCUGGGAAAAUCAGCACUGGAUAGCCGACCUGUCGCAGAUGCUGACUGCAGCCCCAUGGCCCGUUCCCCUGAGACGGGACCUCCUUUCUCAGGCGGGUGGGACGAUUUGGCAUCCACACCCAGAGAAGUGGUCUCUGCACCUUUGUUCGCUCGACGGGAGCCCGCGGGACUGA
rnacentral:lncRNA from 1 species